UACGAAGGGGGCUAGCGUUGUUCGGAUUUACUGGGCGUAAAGCGCACGUAGGCGGAUCUUUAAGUCAGAGGUGAAAUCCCAAGGCUCAACCUUGGAACUGCCUUUGAUACUGGGGAUCUUGAGUCCGGGAGAGGGUGAGUGGAACUGCGAGUGUAGAGGUGAAAUUCGUAGAUAUUCGCAAGAACACCAGUGGCGAAGGCGACUCACUGGCCCGGUACUGACGCUGAGGUGCGAAAGCGUGGGGAGCAAACAGG
rnacentral:rRNA from 1 species